AGGGCAAUAUGCGUGUGUAGGGUGAGUCACAGUAGGAGUUUCUGGCAAAAGUUUUGUGUGGUCGGGGGAAUGAUGACAGUAACACAGCAACUGGGGAUUUUCUGACUGACACCCGCCUAAGGAUUUGUGGAAAAGGACUGAGCACACAUGGCAGUUCCGUGGGGUAUCAGCAUCAUGGCACUGCAGCAGCAUUUCCCCAGGCUGCCCUGCUCUGCUGUCCCCACUACACAGAGGGUGGAUGAGAUUUUCUGGAGCAGCCCAUUCUUUGCACUUUGCAGCAAGCCCUCUGGAAGCAAUGAGCCUCUCCACAGCAUUUUCUUCCUCCCAUGUGUGUGCACAGAUGCUUUCUCUGUAAUGAUGCUCUCUGGGCCUCAUUUGCUGAGGUUCUCGGUCCUGUUACAUCCCCUGAUUCAGCGCUUGGUAUCCCUGGUAGACCAAGAUGAGCAUAGAAUUUCAACUGCCUCACAGUGAAAAUAAAUGUUGACCUGUCAGAAAUGUCCUUGGACUGAAAAUCACAGGCACUGACCCUCUGUGGCAAAGGAGUUGGACUAUGAUCGUCUACAAGGCAAGUACCAGCUUCUAGAACUGAAGUGCACCCAAAUAAACUAAGUAAACGCUUUUGGUGAAUAUUUAACAUUCAGUUACAGUCUCGGAAAUUUAUGUUCUUUGUCUGAGGGUAUUCUGGGGAAAGAGAAGAUUUCAAUCAAGAGUUUGAUCCUGCCAAAAUUUUA